GGCCGGGUCCUUUGGGCGGUCGGCUCGUGAACCUGGUCAGGGCUUGAUCGCAGCAGCCAUAAGCGUCGCUGUCCGCGCCAUUGGUCGCCUGGCCGCC
rnacentral:SRP_RNA from 1 species